GACUUUCCAUAACAAGUUGUUUUUCGAUCUUUUCAUCGUGUGUUCAUAUGUUCAAGUUUCAGGAUUAUCUGAUCCCAUGCACUUUUAUGUUCGGUUAUUUUCCGAUCUCUUCAUCUAUAUUCGUCCUGUUCUGAUCGAUAUCUGAUCUCUGGAUCAUCCGAUCCUACGUUUUGUUGUUUUCCGUUUUCAAUAACAUUGUGUUCAAAUAUCUCAAAAUUCUAAAUUGCGAUGUUGUGUUCAGUUAUCUGAUCUUAAUUGUGCAAACACUUGU
rnacentral:misc_RNA from 1 species